GUCCAGGUUGCCUCAGAAAGGCAAAAUCAGCUUGCGUAUUCAGCAUAUGAUAUAGCAAAAGUAAGAUAACACAAAAACAGGUGCAUGUGUGCAGGUGUGAGCAUCUGAGGAGCAGUCUAAGAUGAAUCAGAUUUGACAGCCAUGUCGUUUGCAUGUGUAUGGAGCCCAAGAGAAUGGGUGAUAUCUCAUAAGAUGUGCAGCAGGAAAGAGGAUUAUCUCAGAAGACGAGGACAGGCACCAGCAUUCAGUUACCACUGCCUAAGGAUAGCCCCAGAAUGUGUCUCUUGGAGAUUCAAGACUGAGGAACAGAAAGCCUGUAGACUCGGAAGCCAGACCCCCCGAUUCAUUGUUCUGCAUUUACCAGGGGUGACUGCCCAUGAAACUUAAACUACUGUGGCUCAGCUUCCUCCUUCCAUUUGAAAUACAUGAGUAUUUGUCACAUUCAAAGUGAGUAUUAAGUAAAAAAAAAUGUAUAAAAUGCUUAGAAUGGUGCUGGGCAUGCGCUAACUAACUACACACUGAGCAGCAUGUAACACUGCAAAAGCCUCCUGACUGGUUUCACUGCUUUCUCUUCUCUCUUCUCUGCUCCUCACAUGGAAGAUAGGCUGGUCUGUAUAACACAAAGCACUCCCUGCUGGAACAAUUUCCAUAGUCCUCUAGACCUUCUGGAGUGGAUUCCAUUCUCAUCUCCUGCCACACCCCUGCGGGCAGCCUGUGCUUUCUGAGUCCUGGAUCUGCCAUCUACAUCCACACCUUUGUGCCAUUAGUGAUUCUCUGCCUGGGAUUUCCCUCUUCUUUGCUUCUUGCUAACCCACUUCUGAUCCUCUCAAGCACAGAUCAGAUGUCACACACUCAGUGAAAACUGCUGACUUUCCUCUCCUCAGCAUAUAAUGUUGACUACUUGCGACUCUUUACUCCCAUGGCAAUCUGUGUAUGUCUCCAACUUAGCCCACCCACCCAUGUGGCAGCCUGAAUGGGCAUCUACCCUAUGCCACCCACACUUCUUGCACAUCUGGACUCCCCAAGAACUUUCUUGUGUUCACAUACAUGGCUUCUUACCAGAAUCCCUAAAGGACUGAGUAAAAUAUGGUUUAGUUUGUGCAUGACUGUGGUUGAGCUUGGGACAGUGUGAAUCUAUAACAGUUUAAUUUUUUGGAUCCUAUGCUUUGUGUCUCAACAUAUUUAAGAAAUUUUUUAAUGUAAGUGCCAAUUCUAAGUUCUUUUUGUCCUCGUGGAGACUGCUUCUCUCCUUGAGACACAGUUGAGAAAGAGCAGACUCAAAGCCCUAUUAUAUGGAAAUAGAUGUGAUGUUUUCCUCUUUGGUUACAAAUCCCUGCAUAGAGAAGAGGGCUGCAUAUCCAGAAGGUGAUUAAUCUUUUAGCAAUGUGGUGCUGACACUCAAAUCUAAAGUGUUGCCCUUCUGUGUUGAUUAAUAGUACCCUCCAGGAGCAAAAGUCUACCAAACUCUUUUUCCUGUGGAAGUGGGUUUGGCUGGGGGCUAAUGUGGGCCUCAAGCUCUUUGGAAGAAGAAUUGCCUCAGAGAGGUGGUCUCUUUGGAAAAAGGGUAUGAUUUUAAACCUUGUACCUGUCAGUCAUUGGAUCUUGUUUUCUCUGAAGGGAAUUGGUAAAAUCAUAGUCUCCUGGAUGGAGCAGCUCCAUUUAGGGUGACGUGAUCUCCGAUGAAGAAAACAAACAAUAGCAUCCAUGUCUUAGUUACUUUUCUUGUUGCUGAGUUAAAAUACCUGAUACCCACAAGGUAAAGGAGGAAAGGUUUAUUUCAGCUCACAAUUGGUAGGGAUUUUAGUCCAUAGUUGGUUGGCUCCAAGGAAGAGCAGCAUGGCAGAGAGACCUCACAGAGGAGAAAUAGCCCAUGGCAGGGUAGGCAGGAGGCAGCAACAAAGAAGCAGCAGCAGUAGCAGUAGCAGUAGCAGUAGCAGUAGCAGUAGCAGUAGCAGUAGCAGUAGCAGUCUGCCUUUCCCUUUUAGCCUAUCCAGGCUACAAACUAUUGAUUGGUACCACCCACAUCCAGGGUGGGUCUUCCAUUAUCCAUACCCAGAACUAUGCUAAAUCAAUUUAGUUAUCACACACCAUAGAUACAGCCACCUCCAGAAAGCCCCACUGUUAUGAUUUGUGUCUGUGUGUCCCCCCAAAGCCUCAUGUGGCCAUGGGGCAGGCUUUUAGAGUUUGAUUGAUUAUGGGUAUGAGAGCUACACCCACCCUGGGGUGGAUAGUUUGCAUAUGUAAGGGAGAGGAAGAGACUACUUGAGGCCAUUCCUCCCCCAUUCCUCCCUUGUGUGUGUCUUGUUGCUUUGCUGUGUUCUGCCAUCAUGAGCUGUAGCUCUCUGCCAUGUGCCAGUCUGCCUUGUAAUCUGCCAAGUAUGGACUGAAACCUCCACAAACUGUAAGCGAAAUAAACCUUUCCUUCCUUAAUUUUGGGCAUCAGGUAUUUUGUCCCAGCAACAAGAGAAAAGUAACCAAGACACCCACCUAUGAGGGCAUGAGGCUUUGGGGGGACAUCUAGAUACAAGCUACAACAAUCUGUUACACCUAUUAUCUGGGAGCAAAUAAGUGGGGACAGAGGGUGCUCAGAGGACACAACCUCACUUGGGUGCCAUGGAGAUGCUGACAUGGGAAUGGGAAAAGUGUGCUCACUGGUGUGUGUGUGGGUGGAUCUGUAUUCAGGGGAGGAAGGUGGUUACACGUUCCCAAUGUUUCUGGUAUGGAGCUCAGGCAAUCUUAGGAUAUUAAAUGAAUGAUGACUUGGAUGUGUAAAGACUGAAGACAUUAUACCUUGAAGUAGUUAAGUAGUAAACAUUUUUUUGAUAAUCCACAGUGUACUUAAUAAGUUCUAGUGAUACAGUUCUAGCAAUAGUUUGCUAUGGUGAUAUGUUAUGAGU
ensembl:lincRNA